AGUGAACGCUGGCGGUAGGCCUAACACAUGCAAGUCGAACGGCAGCACAGUAAGAGCUUGCUCUUACGGGUGGCGAGUGGCGGACUGGUGAGGAAUACAUCGGAAUCUACUUUUUCGUGGGGGAUAACGUAGGGAAACUUACGCUAAUACCGCAUACGACCUACGGGUGAAAGCAGGGGAUCUUCGGACCUUGCGCGAUUGAAUGAGCCGAUGUCGGAUUAGCUAGUUGGCGGGGUAAAGGCCCACCAAGGCGACGAUCCGUAGCUGGUCUGAGAGGAUGAUCAGCCACACUGGAACUGGGACACGGUCCAGACUCCUACGGGAGGCAGCAGUGGGGAAUAUUGGACAAUGGGCGCAAGCCUGAUCCAGCCAUACCGCGUGGGUGAAGAAGGCCUUCGGGUUGUAAAGCCCUUUUGUUGGGAAAGAAAAGCAGCAGGUUAAUACCCCGCUGUUCUGACGGUACCCAAAGAAUAAGCACCGGCUAACUUCGUG
rnacentral:rRNA from 1 species